AUAUCGCGAGGUGCCAGCAGCCGCGGUAAUACGGAGGGUGCAAGCGUUACUCGGAAUCACUGGGCGUAAAGGGCGCGUAGGCGGAUUAUCAAGUCUCUUGUGAAAUCUAAUGGCUUAACCAUUAAACUGCUUGGGAAACUGAUAGUCUAGAGUGAGGGAGAGGCAGAUGGAAUUGGUGGUGUAGGGGUAAAAUCCGUAGAUAUCACCAAGAAUACCCAUUGCGAAGGCGAUCUGCUGGAACUCAACUGACGCUAAGGCGCGGAAAGCGUGGGGANCAAACAGGAUUAGAUACCCCUGGGUAGUCCACGCCCUAAAGAUGACACUAGUUGUUGGAUGCUAGUCAUCUCAGUAAUG
rnacentral:rRNA from 1 species